rnacentral:rRNA from 1 species
AUUGAACGCUAGCGGGAUGCUUUACACAUGCAAGUCGAACGAGUGGCGGACGGGUGAGUAAUAUAUCGGAACGUGCCCAGUAGCGGGGGAUAACUACUCGAAAGGGUGGCUAAUACCGCAUACUCUUGGAUGGGCCGAUAUGGGAUUAGCUAGUGGGGGGGGUAAAGGCUCACCAAGGCAAAGAUCCGUAGCUGGUUGGAGAGGACGACCAGCCACACGGGAACUGAGACACGGCCCAGCCUCCUACGGAGGGCAGCGGUGGGGAAUUUUGGACAAUGGGGGAAACCCUAAUCCAGCCAUCCCGCUUGUAUGAGAAGGCCUUCGGGUUGUAAAGUACUUUUGGCAGAGAAGCGGUAUCUGCAGAAUAAGCACCGGCUAACUACGUGCCAGCCGCCGCGGUAAUAA